rnacentral:rRNA from 1 species
UACAGAGGUCUCAAGCGUUGUUCGGAUUCAUUGGGCGUAAAGGGUGCGUAGGCGGCGCGGUAAGUCGGGUGUGAAAUCUCGGAGCUUAACUCCGAAACUGCAUUCGAUACUGCCGUGCUUGAGGACUGGAGAGGAGACUGGAAUUUACGGUGUAGCGGUGAAAUGCUUAGAUAUCGUCAAGAACACCAAUAGUGAAGACAGUUUACUAGACUUUUACUGACGCUGAGGCACGAAAGUGUGGGGAUCAAACAGG